rnacentral:rRNA from 1 species
GACGAACCGUGCGAACGUUAUUCGGAAUCAUUGGGCUUAAAGCGCGUGUAGGCGGAUUCGUGCGUCUGUCGCUGAAAUCCCCCGCUCAACCGGGGAACGGGCGCGGAUACGACGAGUCUGGAGGGGCAUAGGGGGACCUGGAACUUCCGGUGGAGCGGUGAAAUGCGUUGAGAUCGGAAGGAACGCCCGUGGCGAAAGCGAGGUCCUGGAUGCCUACUGACGCUGAGACGCGAAAGCCAGGGGAGCGAACGGG